CUGGAGAAAUGAUGAGAAAUCAGAUAAAAUCUUAGGACACCUUCUGACACAGAUUCUGUGUAUGAGAAUGACAUCAUAUUCUGAUCUUCAG
rnacentral:snoRNA from 1 species